rnacentral:lncRNA from 1 species
AUGGAAAAUUGGGUUUAGGGUCUGUUUAGGUUUAGCUGAUUCGGGUUUGGGUAGAGAUUUGGGCCAUUGGGCUGGUGUUGGGUCUGUACUUUAGGUUAAUUGGCUUUGUAAAUUUUGGUUUAUUGUAAAUGGACUGUAUUAGGACUUUAAAUUUUAUCGUUUAUUUAUUAUAUGGUUUUUUUAUCAAGCUCGGGUAAAAUUUGGGUAUUACAGCUGCCCUUCUUUUCUCGUUGUCAUGUAACAGGAACAAAGCAAAGACUUCAAGAUGGCCAAUUUUGCCCGGUCGUGCUGGAC